GUUCACAAAAGGGGGGAAAACAACAAAAACCUCCUUUUUACUGGUUAAUUUUUCUUGCAGAUUUUUCUUCCAGGAAUAUAUAACUUCUCUGCUAAUGGAUGCAAUAUUCACAAGGAUGUUCAGGGGCCUAGAGCAACCCCCUGUGAACCCAAACUACAAAUAAACCCAUCUCAACCAUGGAAUGAACCAAAACUGUCUGUAUUAAAAUAGAGCCAUCCACAGAGUGGGAAACCAAGCUUGAGUAGGGAGAGCACAUUUCCCUAGUCCUGAAAUGGGUGAAGUGUUUGGGCGUCAGCUCCACAGUGAAAAGGCACUUGGAUCACCUGGAUACUCUGUGCAGUUCUACAGUAGUAACAGGGGACUGGAUCCUGAAUGAAUUAAAAGUCUCUGUAGUUUUAAUUGGGAGAGGAUUUUACUCAGCAUUUCAACUGGAUGAAGACAGAUUUAAAAUAUACUGCUGCAAAUACCAUUGUAAUUUACUCCUGUGAAUCCUUUAGGAGAAGUCUGAAACCACAGAGGCAGAACUAAGUUCCAAGAACUAAAAGAAGGUUGGUUUCAAGAACAGCAAUUUCACUGCCCUGGAAAGGCCUUUAGAAGUCUGUUUGGUGAGUCUGCACGUGAGAGCUGCACUGAGGCACCCGAGAGCUGGUGAACAAUAAAAAGGGUUUCUCAGCUCCCUCUGCGGGAAAAUUCCUACCUGAGGCUCUGGAAGCAACUGCUGCAAGGACAGAGAGUGGCUCUCACACAAUUCCCACAAGGAGCAGCCUUCAUUUGAUCCCUCAGUGAUCCUUUCCAUCUGUCUGGCACUGUGCAACCCUGGAUCCCCUCCAGCUGCUGCCUCGCUCACUCCCUCGCAGGAGGGAAGAGAAGGAGUCGCUGUCCAAGGUACCUCUGCUGUGCCCACACAGCUUUAUUGGGCAGCUCCAGAAAGGAUGCUUUUAGCGCUUUUCAUUUUAUCUUCUACCACUAAAAUCUACUGGAAAAGGACAUCUGUGGGGAACAAGGAGUCCAAUGGAGAGCUCCCUCUUUCAGCUACACCUACAGAACAUUGAAAAACUCCAUUCACUUGUGCCAUCAUCCAACAAAAGGUAAAUGUUACUCAUGGGGUGCUGACAGAUCUAAAGUUUUUUAAUGAGAUAUAUGAUUGUGGCAGACAUAAGGGAAAUAAACAUUCCUUCCAUAUGAUGGAAAUGAAAUACUUGAGUUCUGUCCAGUUUCAGAUUACAUUGGACCAGUGCAAAGAGACCUGCUGGUGUAGGACCUUGAAGGUUGUGAUGUUUCUGGGGCUAUCACCCCAGCUAUAAUAAUUAGGCACAUAAUGAAAUUAAAAUUGACCUGUGAUAACAUGUUCCAGUUGCAGGUCUAUGCACCCAUGCAUGUCAUUCAACAGAUUGUCACCUGGUCAUGCCCUUGUUGAAGUUCCAAGGAUACUUUCAUCCACUUUUAAGGUUUUCUCCUUGCCCUGCCCUCUCUCUCUUACAUGUGUCUUGCAGCAGUUAAAGCACAAAGAUAGAGAAACCAUUCUGCUACAGUGAUCCAUCACUUCAGAAAUAUAUUUGAUGCCUUGACUGGAGGGAAGCAAAAAAGAUCCUUCUUCAUAAGAGAAACUACUGGGUCCUG